rnacentral:rRNA from 1 species
UGGACACACUAAACUUAACCUUUAUUUGCCUUAGUAAUAUAAAUUAGCUUUUAGGUGAAGAUACCUAAAUUUAGUAGAAAGACAAGAAGACCCUAUUGAGUUUUACCUUAAAAUAAAAUAAAAGGUUUUGUUGGGGCGACCAGGGAAUUCAUCCGACUUCCCUUAAAUAAAAGGAAACCAUGAAAUUGAUCCUUAAAGAAUUCAGAAUAAACUACCAUAGGGAUAACAGGCUAAUUUUUUCAGCGAGUUCAUAUUAAUGAAAAAGUUUGGCACCUCGAUGUUGGCUUGAAGAAUCUUUUAGGUGCAGCCGCCUA